AGCGAACGCUGGCGGCAGGCUUAACACAUGCAAGUCGAGCGGGCACCUUUCGGGGUGUCAGCGGCGGACGGGUGAGUAACGCGUGGGAACGUGCCCCCUGGUUCGGAAUAACUCAGGGAAACUUGAGCUAAUACCGGAUACGCCCUUUUGGGGAAAGGCUUGCUGCCGGGGGAUCGGCCCGCGUCUGAUUAGCUAGUUGUUGAGGUAACGGCUCACCAAGGCGACGAUCAGUAGCUGGUCUGAGAGGAUGAGCCGCCACACUGGGACUGAGACACGGCCCAGACUCCUACGGGAGGCAGCAGUGGGGAAUAUUGGACAAUGGGCGCAAGCCUGAUCCAGCCAUGCCGCGUGAGUGAUGAAGGCCUUAGGGUUGUAAAGCUCUUUUAUCCGGGACGAUAAUGACGGUACCGGAGGAAUAAGCCCCGGCUAACUUCGUG
rnacentral:rRNA from 1 species